CAUUGCUUCUUUUUUUUUUCUGUCUUGCGUACAUGUAGUUUCACACUAGUUAAUUGCGUUUCAUACUCCGGUUUAACAAAAAGGAUCAAUUUAAAAUAAUUACUAGUUGUGUUCUCUAGAUCGGAUUCUUAAAAAGAAAAGGAAAAGAGAGAGGAAAUAUGCAACAUCAUUCAGAGAUGCCGGCGUCGAUGAAGCAGCCUCUUUGUCCUAAGCCACGUCGUGUGUGUCCUUCUCUUCCUCACUUCCUCAACCCUAUCUCAUGUUCCCUACGCUCUUCCAACUGCCAACAAGGUUCGGAGGCAAGAAGCGGUGUUCUCAGCAUAAUCGACAAGCCGAUGGAAGGUGGAACAACAGAGACAAUGUGGUACGCAGGGUCUCCACCUAAAAGAACCGGGAAUCCGCUUGUACAUGACCUUCAUUUCAUUCAGUACUCCCUUGACCUUCUCCCAGAUUUCUCAAGCACCAAGGCUUGAUUUUCACAUCUAAUUAUUAGACGAUAUAUGCAUACAUUUCCGCACAAAAAAAACUCCUUGCGUCCACUUAAAACUACCAUCUGGGCGUAAAGAACACCGACAUCAUUAUCAACUAAAAGUUUUUUACACAGAUAUAUAUGCAUCUACUACUCAACAAGUUUGAAGUUUAUUCUUUGUAGAAAUGUAUUUGGAUAUUCUUGAUGAUCACAAAGGUUCCACACUGAGGUCAGCACAAGACUGCUUAAUAAAUCAGCACCCGCACACAAUGAAAGCAGACAACAUAUAUAUAUAGAAAGGUUAACUAGAGAUCUGUAUUAGGACUUGGAUGUUUGUUAUGAUAUAGAAUUUUUUCUCCCUUUUUAGCUUAUUAUGUCUUGUUUUGUAUUUAAGACAUCAUUCCAAUAAUUUUUUAGCAGACUUGUGUUUUCUUUUGUUCAUAUGAUACUACUAGUACAUUUGAACUUGUUCUUACCUCUGUAUAAAUUCCAUACUUCUAAUAUAUAUAUAUCAGUUUUGUUUGGAAAUAUAUGGGUAACUUACUAGAAUGGUAAUGGGGAGGAAGCUCUCAUAUAAAAAGUUGGAAAGCGGAUGAACAUUGAUAUGAGUAUGACAGAGAGAGUUAAGGCGUUGGAGCUUAGAGAGAAGAGAAGGGUGGAGAAUGUGGUGUGACGAUUUUAUUUUUUUAAGUUAAAGCAAUUAUGAGUUUUAGCCUUUUAGGUUAAACAAUUAUAUGAUUAAGAGUUGAAUGCCCCAGUAAGGGUAAACACGUUUAAUAAUUUGUUGGUUUUCAGUGCUUAAUCAUUUCCAAUCUACUUAAUUCUAUUUUUUUAAAAUUGGAUAUAUAAAUUUCUUUAACUCCAAUGUAAUUUUUUCCUUUAUUAUUUUCUCUAUAUUUACAAUUUAAAAACAUUUCUUUAUAAAUAGAUCAAAUUUAAAAAAACUCUAAUAACUAAAAUAAUCAAUUUAAAAAUAAAGAUUACUUAUCACUGCCUAACUCAUGGAUCAUAACCAGUGCCGGUCCUGAGAUAUUCAUGGUCCAAUACGAAAUAUAAAAAUGAAACCUUUAGAUAAUACAUAAAAAAAAUGUCGAUAAAAAAAAUCAAAUUUAUGAUUAAAAAUUACAAUAUUUUUAAAACUAGUAAAUUUUUUUAUCAAUUCUUAAAUAUUGGGUUUUUACAUUUUUUCCUACAAAAUCAUCUAUCAAACUUUCAUAAUCAAAUGCUUUGAUCUUUGAUCUAUUUCUUUUAAUCGAUAACAUUGAAGACAAUUAUGUUAAAUUAUUAUAUUCCUUUUAAUCCACUCAUAUUAAAUAAUACGAAAGGCUAUAUAAAACUUAGUUGUCUUUUAUUUAGAGAUGGUCCAUCACCUUAUUAACUUAUCGAACACAUUAACACAUAAUAUAUUGAUAUGUUAACAAAUAACAACAUUGAAUAAUUAGGCCCUAAAAUGUUUAAAUAAAUAAUAGGCUCCAUACUGAUGUAUCACAUGUAUGGGGUCAAACCCGGGCCUGAUCAUAACACUCCUCCACGCCUCAGUUCACAUUCCACCAAUAUGUAUAAACAGCCACCCAAACACUUAGUUAAUGGUAACAUCCCGAUUUAUAUACUAUAUGGUAAUAAUGUCUAUUGAAAAGUUUAAAAUAAUUUGAUUUUUUGCCCAAAACAAGUUUAAAAUGAUUUACUUAUCUAUAUUAUUAAAGAACUUUUCUUUUUGGUCAUUGGUUCUGAAAAAAAUUCUAAAAUUAAGUGUGUAUAAACCGAAAUAGAAUAAUACCAUAUAAUAUAUCGAAAAAGUGAUUCGUGAUACCGUGCACAAAAUAAAAAAUGUUAUGUGGUGAUUGUAAAAUCAGUAAAGUUUUUGAACCUAUGAAUGAUUAACACACCUGACUAACAAAGAAAGUUUAACACACUGACCGCCGGGUGAUGAGGACAACCGGUGACUAAAUGAGGGGACGCAGAGCCCACUAACGAGAACAGUCAGAACGUUGCAACAAUGUACUUGGGUUUUAAUUUGUGUACUAAAGGUCAUAAUAAGAAAUACAAUGAUUUUGUUAAGUUUCUCUUUAAUCUAGAAUAGUUAAAUGCGAGAGUUGAUGUUGUAUAAUUGAAUCAAAUACGGAAAUUUCGUUGGCAAUAUUCCUUAACCAGCGAUUUAAGAAUUCGUUGACUGAUACCAAGCAGCAACAUGCAAAACGUUGACCUUUUCCCUCACAUACCCAAAAAAAAAAAAAAAACCAGCUUGAUGGAAACGACUAAAGCUUCGUCUAGUAAAAGAAACUCAAGUUGCUUGUCUUGGACUCCUCCAAUGAGCACAUUUCAACUACAGAAUCGUCCACGACCUGAGAGAAUGAUCUUGGGAUGGAGAGAGCCUGAUUGUAUGCCCUAACUUAUUAUCAAUGGAAAGAAAUAAAUGUCAGCAAUUAGUUAAUUUCAGUGUUUUAAAACGCGAUAGACAUUCAUUGCGCGUUAGAUGACUGUAUAGCGCCUAAACAGGAUAUAUACGGAUAUAUACUUUUACACAAAAUAUAAGUAUAAGAUUAAUAUAUAUAUAUACAUUAUUUUUGAAAAAACUGAAUAUAAAUAUAUUUUAAAUCCAUUUUUAUGUAUAAGUAUAUAGUUUAACAUAUAUAAAUCGUUUUAAAUUAUAAAAAUGAAAGUCGUUUUAAAUAUAUAAAGAUGAUAUAAAUUUUGAAUGAUUUUGCAACAAUUAUACUAAUAUCUACAAUCAUAUAAAUACAUAAAAUAAGUAAAAGAAUUUGCUUCCAUUCUUUCGUGAAUAUCAGUUACAUGUUUUUGUCCAAUCGCUAAUCGUAUUUUGGUUAAUACCAUAUGAGUUCUACAUUUCAAUUUAGCUCGGUAUUCUUUGAUUAUCAUCUUCUGGUCCGGUGU